UUUUUUUUUUUUUUCUGGUCCCAGAAAUCGAACUUGGGUCCUUGCACUUGCACAGCAGGUGCUGAAACCACUGAGCUAAAUCCCUGGCCCCUCUAUUAGUUUCUUCUACCAAUCACUUAAUCCGUGUUUUAUCUUCCCCAAAAGACAGUGCCUUGAGCCCUUUCAGUCCGAAGUAUAUUCCUCUGUAUUUGGUGUUUUUUCCUGCCUGGGAGACGUCAUUAGUUUUUCUCUACAGAGUACAUUUUACCUGUUCUUCAAGUUUUGUGAGGAUGGAUGUAGACCACAC
ensembl:lncRNA